UAACCUGCCCAAGAGAUCGGGAUAACACCUGGAAACAGAUGCUAAUACCGGAUAACAACAGAUGAUGCCUAUCAACUGUUUAAAAGAUGGUUCUGCUAUCACUCUUGGAUGGACCUGCGGUGCAUUAGCUAGUUGGUAGGGUAACGGCCUACCAAGGCGAUGAUGCAUAGCCGAGUUGAGAGACUGAUCGGCCACAUUGGGACUGAGACGCGGCCCAAACUCCUACGGGAGGCAGCAGCC
rnacentral:rRNA from 1 species